AUUGAACGCUGGCGGCAUGCCUUACACAUGCAAGUCGAACGGUAACAGGUCUUCGGCUGCUGCCGAGUGGCGAACGGGUGAGUAAUACAUCGGAACGUGCCCGAUCGUGGGGGAUAACGAAGCGAAAGCUUUGCUAAUACCGCAUAAGAUCUACGGAUGAAAGCAGGGGACCGCAAGGCCUUGCGCGAACGGAGCGGCCGAUGGCAGAUUAGGUAGUUGGUGGGAUAAAAGCUUACCAAGCCGACGAUCUGUAGCUGGUCUGAGAGGACGACCAGCCACACUGGGACUGAGACACGGCCAAGACUCCUACGGGAGGCAGCAGUGGGGAAUUUUGGACAAUGGGCGAAAGCCUGAUCCAGCCAUGCCGCGUGCAGGAUGAAGGCCUUCGGGUUGUAAACUGCUUUUGUACGGAACGAAAAGACUCUGGUUAAUACCUGGGGUCCAUGACGGUACCGUAAGAAUAAGCACCGGCUAACUACGUG
rnacentral:rRNA from 1 species